rnacentral:rRNA from 1 species
GCCCUUGUGCCAGCAGCCGCGGUAAAACGUAGGACGCAAGCGUUAUCCGGAAUUACUGGGCGUAAAGCGCGUGCAGGCGGGUGAGUAAGUCAGCCGUGAAAGCUCCUGGCUAAACUGGGAGAGGUCGGUUGAAACUGCGCAUCUGGAGUGUGACAGAGGCGAGUGGAAUUCCGCGUGUAGUGGUGAAAUGCGUAGAUAUGCGGAGGAACACCAGUGGCGAAGGCGGCUCGCUGGGUCACAACUGACGCUGAGACGCGAAAGCAUGGGGAGCGAACGGGAUUAGAAACCCCGGUAGUCCAUGCCGUAAACGAUGUGCACUAGACGUUCGUGCGGCUACGGUCGUGUGAGUGUCGCAGCUAACGCGAUAAGUGCACCGCCUGGGGAGUACGGUCGCAAGGCUAAAACUCAAAGGAAUUGACGGGGGCCCGCACAAGCAGCGGAGCGUGGUGGUUUAAUUCGAGGCUACGCGAAGAACCUUACCCGGGCUUGACAUCCCGCGCUAUCUUGUGAAAGCAAGAGUUCCUUCGGGACGCGGAGACAGGUGCUGCAUGGCUGUCGUCAGCUCGUGUCGUGAGAUGUUCGGUUAAGUCCGAAAACGAGCGCAACCCUUAUUGCUAGUUACAAGUGUCUAGCGAGACUGCCCGCGGCAAGCGGGAGGAAGGUGGGGAUGACGUCAAGUCAGCAUGGCCUUUAUGUCCGGGGCUACACACACGCUACAAUGGCACAUACAAUGGGUCGCGAAACCGCGAGGUGGAGCCAAUCCCGCAAAGUGUGUCGUAGUUCGGAUUGCAGGCUGCAACUCGCCUGCAUGAAGUCGGAGUUGCUAGUAACCGCGUAUCAGCACGGCGCGGUGAAUACGUUCCCGGGCCUUAWACUCACCGCCCGUC